UACCAGCUCUCCGAGUGGUAGGGAUGAUUAUUGGGCUUAAAGCGUCCGUAGCCGGCUUAGCAAGUCUCCUGUUAAAUUCAGCGACCUAAUCGUUGAGCCGCGGGAGACACUACUAGGCUAGGAGGCGGGAGAGGCCGACGGUAUUCUCGGGGUAGGGGUGAAAUCCUAUAAUCCCGGGAGGACCACCAGUGGCGAAGGCUGUCGGCUAGAACGCGCUCGACGGUGAGGGACGAAAGCUGGGGGAGCGAACCGGAUUAGAUACCCUGGUAGUCCCAGCUGUAAACGAUGCGGGCUAGGUGUUGGGGUGGCUACGAGCCACUUCAGUGCCGCAGGGAAGCCAUUAAGCCCGCCGCCUGGGGAGUACGGCCGCAAGGCUGAAACUUAAAGGAAUUGGCGGGGAGCACCACAAGGCGUGAAGCUUGCGGUUC
rnacentral:rRNA from 1 species